rnacentral:rRNA from 1 species
UCGUAUGAAAGUUUUUAACUUCAUGGCGGACGGGUGAGUAACACGUAGGAAUUUACCUUUAGGAGGGGGAUAAGGUUUUUAAUCAAAUACCCCAUAUGCUUUCGAGUGAAAUGGAGAUUUCCGCCUAAAGAGAAGCUUGCGGCUGAUUAGCUUGUUGGUAAGGUAAUGGCUUACCAAGGCGACGAUCAGUAUCUGGUUUGAGAGGACGAUCAGACACACUGGAACUGAGACACGGUCCAGACUCUUACGGGAGGCAGCAGUGGGGAAUUUUCCGCAAUGGGCGAAAGCCUGACGGAGCAAUACCGCGUGAGGGAUGAAAGCCUACGGGUUGUAAACCUCUUUUUUCAGGGAGGAAGUUCUGACGUGUACCUGAAGAAUAAGCAUCGGCUAACUCCGUGCCAGCAGCUGCGGUAAGACGGGGGAUGCAAGUGUUAUCCGGAAUCACUGGGCGUAAAGCGUCUGUAGGUGGUUGAAUAAGUCAACUGUUAAAUCUUGAGGCUCAACUUCAAAAUCGCAGUCGAAACUAUUCGACUAGAGUAUAGUAGGGGUAAAGGGAAUUUCCAGUGGAGCGGUGAAAUGCGUAGAGAUUGGAAAGAACACCGAUGGCGAAGGCACUUUACUGGGCUAUUACUAACACUGAGAGACGAAAGCUAGGGUAGCAAAUGGGAUUAGAUACCCCAGUAGUCCUAGCUGUAAACAAUGGAUACUAGAUGUUGAGCAGAUCUUUCUGUGCAGU